CUUAGCUACUGGGCAAUGUGUGUGUGUGUGGGGGGUAGUUGUGUGUGAAGUCACAGAUGGGAGGCCUUGCAGAGAGGGACAGAUAUGUCCAAGAGCAUUUUGGCAUGGUGUGAGGGACUUGGACACAUGGAGGAAAUGAGUGUGGAUGGCUGCCUUCUGGUACUGCCUCCUGCACGUCAGUCUGCAUAUUCAACUGUCUUCCUCCUUGUUGGGUGGAGCUACUGAGAAUCCAUACUACAAAUGCCGUCCUGAAAUUUACAUUGUUCCAAGGAAGAGUCACAAGAUUUGUCCCUAACCAGCAUGAAGAGAGUAGAAGCAGUUGGUGUAGUUCUGGAUGCACCGUUUCCUUCCCUUCCUGGUCACACAGCUGGAUCCUGCUUUCCUACUUUCCAAGGUUACGUCCAAGAAAUGAAGUUCUGCCUCUUAGAGUGAGAGAGGAUCAGGGUAGAGAGGUCUUCCCAUAAGGUCCGAUGCUGAAGGAGCAGUGUUCCAAGAGUCUAAGUGGGGAAGGCACAAACAGAAAAGUGACUGUCUAGAGCAGAUCCUUCUGUGGACCCAAGCAAAGCAAACUUACUGUGGCUGUCUGAUGAGAUGUUAGAAUUGCUCAUUUCAGCAGGGAGUCCACAUUGACUGACAGACCUCAUCCUCUUUUGGGGGAGGAUUUGGUCUUUACCCCUGAGUCCUUUCAGUUAACUUAAGGGCUUAACUACUAGCUCCCACUUGCUGUGUCUCUAUUCAGCACUGACAGCGUGAAUAUCAGCAGGGAGUUAAAUACUCUCCGUCACUUUUACAAGUUCCAGUUGCUUUAGAAUGGAUAUGUUGGAAGGACUAAGAGAAGAUUGCAUUUAAUGGAGUGGCCAAUGAUCAAGACCCAAGACCUGGAAACAAAAGUGAAAGAGACCCUACUACCUAUUGCAUCAAGUUCUCUGUAUCCUUAAAAUUCGGGAUCACGUAACUUAUCUCAAAGUUCAAGUUCUUGAGGUGCAAAUGCCAUUGGUAGCCCCCUGGGCUUUCAGCUUUUAGUGGGCAAGGAUCUCAUGUCUCACCACUGCCUUUUAGUCCUUCAGUAGACUCUAGCAUGAAGAAGGCCAUGCUGCACAGUGGUUAGGAAUCCCAAAUCAGGUAGACCUGUACUGAGUCUGCUGCUCCAUAUCACCACCCGGACGACCAUGAGCAUGUUUCUCAACUUCUUCUGGCCCAGUUUUCCUUAUCUAUAAUAUUCCACAGUGAUAGGACUGAUGUCACAAUUGGCUAGAAGGACAGCAUGAAGACACUGGGUGUCCCCAUGUCACAUCUCGGUAUGGUACCUAUAUGCAGUAGCUGCACAAAUGUUAGCUGUUAUAAUUAGACACUGAGUAAAUGCCCUCUGAAUUGCUACUGAACUGGACGGCCAGAUCCUGUUCAAAAUCAAACAUACAAACAAACUGAAAUGACUCCGAGAUCUAA